GAAAGGUUUCAUUGCCAUGAGUGAGCAAGGUGAGCAGAUCAACUGCUGCAGUGCUGUCCACAUUCAAGCACUCAUCGAACAACACUUCUUGCUGCUCUAAUUCCUCUCGGCAGUCAAGUCCAUGCAUUAACCCAUCAUCCCAGACCACAUCCAAGGGAGAUAUUUCAUCAAACAUGUUGUGGGCAGCACGCCCCUGUAGCAACAACUCAAAGCCACCUUUGCCCAACAUCAGCUCACUUGGUGACUGUAACAGAUCAGAGCGCCCCACCACCAUCUCUUCAAGGCCGCAAAUCCGGCCAAUCCUCGAGAAGGCCGUUGAUGUGUUCCCAGUUGGAUAAGGCAGCAGCAUCUCGUCCAACGCCUCCAUGGAGGACCGAUCAGACACAUGCAGAGAAGAAGCCAUCAACAAUUCGAUCCACAAUCAAUUGUCACGCAGUACCUCAACAAGAGAUGCUUUGUUGUUGGAGAAGUUCAAGCAGUCCCUGCUACCACAUGGCAGCGUUCGUGAAGAGAAAUCCCUACCGCCUGCGCUGCCGGAACUCUACUUGUCAGGAUCUACCGCCACCUGCACCACCGAACGCCACCUGCAGACUUGGCAAACACCAUCAAUGGAGUUCGUCAGACAACAUCAAAUUCACAAGUGCAAGUUGAUGACCGUGCGCAGCGUAAAAGGGAAAGGGAAAGAGAAAAAGCACAAUAUCCAAAUGUAAAAUCAUCUGUACAUGUUAGAUGUACAUUUCAAGAAGACCACGGUGUAACAUGAUUAUAUUUACUCGAAUAUUAUAUUUAAGCUUGUAUAUACGACCGCUUGUUUAUCCUGAACGCUUGAUGUCUAAUAAUCAACUAUGUGUUGUACAUGAA